rnacentral:misc_RNA from 1 species
UCCUGGUUUCCCAGGCAGUAUCACCAGAGUGCCUUAUCCGAAGAUAAGUAGCAACUGGCAACAAGGGUUGCGCUCGUUAAAGGACUUAACCCAACAUCUCACGACACGAGCUGACGACAGCCAUGCAGCACCUGUGUACUUGUCCGAACAAGUCCGGAAAACUGUAUUUCUACAGCGGUCAAGUACAUGUCAAGCCCAGGUAAGGUUCCUCGCGUACCGUCGAAUUAAACCACAUGUUCCACCGCUUGUGCGGAUCCCCGUCAAUUCCUUUAAGUUUUAGUCUUGCGACCGUACUCCCCAGGCGAAUCACUUAACGCGUUAGCUUUGACACCAAUCAAGCAGAGCUCGACUGACGUCUAGUGAUUAUCGUUUACGGCGUGGACUAC